UACGAAGGGGGCUAGCGUUGCUCGGAAUCACUGGGCGUAAAGCGCACGUAGGCGGAUCUUUAAGUCAGGGGUGAAAUCCUGGAGCUCAACUCCAGAACUGCCUUUGAUACUGGGGAUCUCGAGUCCGGAAGAGGUGAGUGGAACUCCGAGUGUAGAGGUGAAAUUCGUAGAUAUCCGGAGGAACACCAGUGGCGAAGGCGACUUUCUGGGACGGUACUGACGCUGAGACGCGAAAGCGUGGGGAGCGAACAGG
rnacentral:rRNA from 1 species